rnacentral:lncRNA from 14 species
GGCCGCUGUCCCUGGCGCGGCUCCAGCCCGAAGGACACCCCCAAGGUCGCACCUGCCGGGGCCCAUCACUGCGAGCUGGGAGCUCCCGGGGGGCUCCGGCAGCAUCGGCUGCGCUGGGCGGUGCUGAGGGCUGCGCCCUGCCGUCCCGCGGGGCUCGGGGGGUGCUCCCGGUGGUGCCCGGUGCUCCCGGUGGUGCCCGCGCUCCGCUGUGCCACGCCAGGGCAGGGGGUUUGCUUUAGAGCGCUGAUCGUGAAACCCUCCCAGGAGGGAAGGAGCGCUGCCCGCUGCCCACAAGGGGCUGCCCGGUGUCCGUGGUGGGUUUCUCGGUGCCCACAAGGGGGUGCCCGGUGCCCAGAAGGGACUGUCCGGUGCCAAAAAGGGGCUUCCCGGUACCAACAAGGGGCUUCCCGGUGCCCACGGUGCGUUUCCCGGUGCCCGCAAAGGGGUUGCCCGGUGCCCACGGCGGGCUGCACCAGCUGCGCUCGGUGUCACUCGUGGCGCAUUGCCAAGGCAGGUGUUUUCGGGGAACCGAAAAGCUCAAGCGGAACUCUCGUCCGGGUCUGCAUGCCCAUGCCCGCGGGGCUGCGAGGCAGAGCGCUGCAGGGCAGAGGGCUGAGGAAGCUCGGGCGGGCGAGGCAGAGCUUGGCAGCCUGGCGGCGGCGCCGGCUGGUUUUGGCAGCACGAUGCCGCUGUUUGUUUGGCUCCGCUCCGGUUUCCAAGGCUGCCAGAGACGUGGCGGCAGCGGGCGGGUGGGGGCCCCAGAGGUUUGGGAACCCCCCCGUGUCCCCCUUUCCGCUCCACUCAGCUUUUCCACCGCGCUGGCGGCUCUGGCUGUGCCAGGCCGGGAGCGUCGCUGGAUGUUGCUUCUGGCCGCAGCAGUGACUCACCAGCCUCGAGGGGCCGUGGCUGGCAACCACCGGCAUCCCUGACACGGCCUCCGCCCCCCGGCGCUACCUCUGGCGGUCAUGGGGAACCUCUUCCCGCCGCUGUCCCACGUCCUCCGCGGCGCAGCCGUGGGAAGCGUCCCGGAGCCGUGGGAAGCGUCCCGGAGCCGUGGGAAGCGUGGCGGAGCCCUGGCAGCGUGCGG